rnacentral:rRNA from 1 species
GAUGAACGCUGGCGGCGUGCUUCCCUUUUGCAAGUCAAACGAACCUUCGGGUUAGUGGCGGACGGGUGAGUAACGCGUGAAAAUCUGCCCUCAGGAGGGGGAUAACGGCUGGAAACGGCCGCUAAUACCCCAUAUGCCGAGAGGUGAAAUGAAUUUCGCCUGAGGAUGAGCUCGCGUCUGAUUAGCUAGUUGGGGGGGUAAAGGCCUACCAAGGCAUCGAUCAGUAGCUGGUCUGAGAGGAUGAUCAGCCACACUGGGACUGAAACACGGCCCAAACUCCUACGGGAGGCAGCAGUGGGGAAUUUUCCGCAAUGGGCGCAAGCCUGACGGAGCAACGCCGCGUGAGGGAUGAAGGCCUCUGGGCUGUAAACCUCUUUUAUCAAGGAAAAAAAUCUGACGGUACUUGAUGAAUAAGCCACGGCUAAUUCCGUG